rnacentral:rRNA from 1 species
UACGGAGGGGGCUAGCGUUGCUCGGAAUUACUGGGCGUAAAGCGCGCGUAGGCGGCUUUGUAAGUUAGAGGUGAAAGCCCAGGGCUCAACCCUGGAAUUGCCUUUAAGACUGCAUCGCUUGAACAUCGGAGAAGUAAGUGGAAUUCCGAGUGUAGAGGUGAAAUUCGUAGAUAUUCGGAAGAACACCAGUGGCGAAGGCGACUUACUGGACGAUUGUUGACGCUGAGGUGCGAAAGCGUGGGGAGCAAACAGG